rnacentral:rRNA from 1 species
UACGAAGGGGGCUAGCGUUGCUCGGAAUCACUGGGCGUAAAGCGCACGUAGGCGGCUUUUUAAGUCAGGGGUGAAAUCCUGGAGCUCAACUCCAGAACUGCCUUUGAUACUGGCGAGCUUGAGUCCGGGAGAGGUGAGUGGAACUGCGAGUGUAGAGGUGAAAUUCGUAGAUAUUCGCAAGAACACCAGUGGCGAAGGCGGCUCACUGGCCCGGUACUGACGCUGAGGUGCGAAAGCGUGGGGAGCAAACAGG